UCUCCACCGCAACGACGGCCCGACGGGCUGCGCAGGGCAUUGUGGGAAAUGUAGUCUCGCGCCGCCGUGGUUCCCGCGGAGGUUUCUGGGCGGGGCUUCCGCGAUCUGCGCGUCCGGAAGUUUCUGCGCGUCCGGAAGUUUCGGCGUCUCCGGAGCGCUGCGGCGCCCUGAGGCAGCGUGUGGCGGGCUCUGGCCAGGAGAUUCCCGGACCCCGGCAGCCGCCUCCGUCCUCUGUGCUGGACCCCAGCGCCCCCCAGCGCCGCUCCCGAGCCCUCGCGCGUCUGUGAGAGCAGCGACCAUGGACGAAUCUCUGGAACCCUUGACCUGCAGAGAUGUGCCAUCGAAUUCUCACACAAGGAGCAGGAGGUCCUGGACCAGCUGCAGUGGAAAUUGUACAGGGACGUGAUGCUAGAGGCCUACAGAAAUGUGGUGUCC